rnacentral:lncRNA from 1 species
UAUGAUCUUUUUUCGUAGGGCACCAUCUUAAUAAAUUAUAAAAGAGAUACAAUCAAUUAAUAGAUAACUGACAAAAAUUGAUCAAUAAAUCCAGCAAUUGAGUCAGCACCUAACAGAACAAGAAGAGUUGGGUUUUCUUGUGAGCUACUAAUUUCAGUUGCGCCCCCACUUUCCUCCAUUAUAUACUUUUUGCAAAGGAUUAUUUUCAUCAACCAAAUGGCCUGGCUAAUACACAGGAUUAAAGGCAUUCCAUGUAACACCCUUUCCAAUGAAACCAACUCAUUCAUAUACAAAAAAAACACCACAAAUAUUAAGCAGCUGUCAUAGUAAUGGCAUGCCAGGCACAAAUAACAACCGAAACAAAUCCAUGUUUAUUGGGGGCCGGGGGGGGGGGGGGAAGUCAUUAAAGGACCAAGUCAGUAACUGUUCAAAGGACAUACUCGUAUGAUAAGAGACAUAUGGGAACAUAGAGACAGGAAUUACUUCCACUUCUUGUAUCCGAAGAACUUGCCCUUAUGCUUCCCAAACAUGCCAGGCCUGCCAUGCUUCCCAAACUUCCCAUGCUUAAACUUCCCAUGUUUGAAUUUUCCAUGGCCAUGGCCAUAGUAACCCCCAUGUGCAAGAUUAUGAGCUCCGUGUGCCACAUGGUGCGCCCCAUAAGCAGCAGCAGCAGCAGCAGCACCCCCAGCUAUUAAUCCUCCCACACCAUGUCCAUGUGAACCGUGUCCUGUAAAUUUUACCAUUCACGUCAGAUGAUGAUAAAAGAUGAAAAUGAAAUUGUAUUUAUAAGUUAGCGAACAUCUCUCCAGAUCCAUUUUGAGUUUUGAGGGUUAAAGAAGAUGGAUGCGGUUCACCAAAUGGCAAGCUAUAUGCCUUUUUCAUUUUCUUUUUUUUUUUUCUUUAAAGGACUAAGUGAAAAACCUUUAUCAAAAGAAAAAAUCAACCAUAAGUUUAAGAUCCAAUGUUAUAUCCUUGCUCAUUGCUCUUUGAAGUAUGAACAAAAACCAAAGACCAUAAGGCCCACAAUAGGGAGACUUAACAACUCAAAUUUAUAAUGGACUAACAAAGAAACAGCCAUAGGAAAACUAAAGGGGUCAUGAAGCCUACCAGGAUAACCAGCUGGUGGAUAUCCACCAUGCGGUGGAUAACCAGCUGGUGGAUAUCCACCAUGCGGUGGAUACGCAGCUGGAGGGUGUCCUCCUGGGGGAGGAUAUCCAGUAGGUGGAUAUCCGCCAGGAGGAGGAUAUCCACCUGGAGGAGGGUAUCCAGCAGGUGGGUAGCCUUGUGGCGGAUACCCAUGAGAAGGGUAGGAUCCAGGUGGAGGAUAAUGUCCAGCAGCAUAGCCAGCAAGAUUAGAAAACAGCCCUUUGUCACUUGACUCGCCUUCAUUCUUGUCUUUACCACCUCCCAUUUUUCUUCAGCUUGAAGUUAUUGAGUUUAAGUAACCUAGUCUGUCAGGAGUAAAAAAACAAACCUUUGUCAGCUGAAACACACUUCAAAGAGAAAUAUUGAAAAGAAAAUAUUAAAAAAGAAAAAAAAAACAAAAUAGCUAUCAAAUAUGUAGAUUAGACAGUGCCUGGCUGGUUUCAAAAGUUGAUUCUC